AGAGAGAGAGAGAAAGAGAUAAGAAAGGAGGAGGAGAAAAUGGAGUUACAACAGGCGGCACGGUAUAUUGUGAGUAUGUUGCUUGCCUUG
rnacentral:ribozyme from 14 species